CUUAUUUACUAAUGGCCCAGAGGGCUGCUCCCGUCUCUCCUUUGUUAAGAUUUUAAUUUGCCUUCUUUUCUGCCUUUGAUGUAAAAUUGUGACCUACAACUCUUUGAAGUCCCUUAUUAGGAGGAAAAUUAACUUAGCUUUUCCACUGUAUCUGCGCACUGUUAGCCCAGACAAAAUGUAGAGAACCCCUUAAAGAUCCAGUACAUUAGGAAAAUUUUCGAGGUAGUUCUGGAAAUGCAAAUUUAAAAAAAUGCAAUAGACUUUUAAAUCUGUAUUAGGAGGUGCAAUAUUCGCAAGGGCCAGAGUGGGGGAAGGGAAUAAGGGAAUAUCUUAAUAAAGAAAACAAAAUUUAUCUGGGCAAGGAAAGCUUGUAAAUCUAAAAACCUGAGAAGGGGAACUGGGGGAUGGUGUUGGUGUGAGCCUUUAUUUUUAAAUGUCACAACUUUUCCCUGUCCCUCUCGUGUACUGCUCACAAAUGACACCCUGGCUUCCUACGCUCUGGGUGAGGGGGGGCUAAGGGAGAAAUUAUAUCUAAAUCUAUCUCUAUAUAAUUAGAAUACCAUGAGGCAGGGUUAAACCUUUGUAAAACACACGACUGAUUGGCGAUCGCUAAAACGAGAUUUGAAAGCAACUCAAAUAAAAGAUCGCGACGUCAGUAAACAGAUUUAGAAAAAAAAAAAGGGGGGGGGGGAAAGCAGCUAGUGACAAACCCGGCGAGAGCGAGCUCUGGGCAUGAGAGAGAGAGGGAGGCAGAGGGAGAGAGAGACUUAAAAGAAAUAGGAGGGGCUUGUGAGAGACUAGAAAUGUCAAUCAGAGCCCAGAGUCCCAAUAAUCUCAGGCAAUCUGUUAGGACCUGACCUGGGUCCACUCAGAUCAAUAGGAAAAGUGAGAGAAGAAAGAAGCGAUCGGAUCGUUUACUGCGGCGGCCGAGGACAGGAGGGAGCCCGCGGCCUCCGCGCACCCCCGGCUCCCCCCCCAUGUCUGCCGGAGUUUGCGGGAGGCGCUGAAAGUGCGGGCGGCCGGCGAGGGCGAGCGACCCGGCUCCCUCCUCCGCUCCCGGCCCUGCUACUUUCUUCCCUUUCUCUCCCUUCUUCCUCUCGUCUCCCCCCCUCCUCUUCCUCCUCCCCCCUCCCCUACCCCGCUCCCCCACCAUGUCUUUCCCCCAGCUGGGCUACCAGUACAUCAGGCCGCUUUACCCGGCGGAGCGCCCGGGGAGCGGCGGCUCCCGCGGCGGCGCCGAGCUGGCCCCGUCCGGGACCCUCUCCAACGUGCUCUCCUCCAUGUACGGCGCGCCCUACGCCGCCGCCGCCGCCGCCCAGGGCUACGGAGCCUUCCUGCCCUACGCCGCAGAGCUGCCCAUCUUCCCGCAGCUGAUCGAUCUAGUGCCUUGGAAGUAGAGAAAAAGUUACUAAAGACAGCUUUCCAGCCAGUGCAGAGGCGGCCCCAGAACCAACUUGACGCCGCUAUGGUUCUAUCGGCGCUCUCAUCAUCAUAGUUAAUUUUUUAUUGUUGUUGUAAUGAUUGUAAAAAAAUCUCUGUAUAGUUACAACUUGUAAGCAUGUCCGUAUAUUAAAACUCAAAAGGAAAAAAAUACCCGCUUCUGUACUAUCACCUGGGUUAGCUGAGCUGUGAGAUUUUUUUUUUCGGAAGUCCAGUGAGAAUUACGUGUUUCCCCCCCCUUUUUUUUUUUUGGGUUGUUGUUGUUGUUUGUUUUUGUACAUACCGUAAAAAUGUACAUAUGUGUGAACCAAAUUGUACAAGAAAGUAUAUAUUUUUGGCUAAUAAAUAAACUGUUGCCACUUUGACUACA
rnacentral:lncRNA from 1 species